GAUACGUAAGUCUGGGAUCCAGUGCUGUUCAAUAGAAAUAUAAUGUGAGUCAUGUAUAUAAUUUUAAAUUUCCUAGAAGCCAUACUUUAAAAAGUUAAAAUAAGCAAAUGAAAUUUAAUAUUGAUUAAAACAGUAUCUUAAAAUAUUAUCCUUCCAACAUGUAAAAAAUAUAAACGUUUAUUAUGAUAUUUUAUUUCAUUAUUUUUAACUAAAUUUUCAAAAUUUGGUAUGCCUUGCACUUUACAGCACAUCUUACUUCAGAAUAGCCACAUUUUAAGUGUUCACAUGUAACUGUUGGCUAUCUUGUUGGACAGGAUAGCUUUAAAAAAAUAGAUGAUCUCAGAGGGAACUCUCUGAAGGGUUCAGAUCAAAACAAAACAAACAAAAAAACUUUGUACAAAAUAUAGAAAGAAGAAUACUGUACUUUAAGAUACUUUUGACAGCAAGUAAAAACCUCAAACCCCCAAACCUCAAACAAGCUUAAAUGAAGGUGUGUAUCAAUCAUCAGAGGAAGUCCUGAGGUACAUCAGAUGCAAUCAUGUCAUCAAAAACCCAGGUUCUUUUCAUGUGUUUACACUGUCAUCUGUGUGUUGCCUUUCUCCCACGGCUGGUACCAAAAUGGCAGCAGUAGUCUGAUAUAUGACAUCUUGAUAUCACAGUUUUUAGAAGUAAAAUAAAGAAAGCAUCUCUUCUUGUGUAUCUCUCUUAAUUAGUGAGAAAACUUUGCUACGAGACCAUACCACAGUAGGAUUCAUUUUAUAUCUCAUUGGCCAGAAUUGAGUUAAAAGCUAUUCCUUAACCAAUCACUAUCAAGAAGUAGAUAUGGGCAGUUCCAGUUCUAGAUAAGAUGAAGUAGGCACCCUCCAACCUGUCUUUCCCAUUGGAUGCAGUCAUGAAAUCAGGACACAAUGGAUGAAACAGAUAUUUGAGGACUCUUAAAAGUGAAAAGCAGCAGACAUAUUUGGGAAGAAGACAGGGAUUCAAAGCAUCCCUGAAUCAAUAGUGAAUUUAUCUUUUUUCUCUAGUAUCCCACAGUUUGGUUUCCAGGCAGGCCAAGAACCAGAUGUACACACUGGUAUAGACAGAAAGAUCUCAGGAAGAAGCUCUCUAGUUCAAGAUUGAGGAGUAGGCUGGCAGUGGUAACCAUGGCAGCAGGAGCCCACAGGCACGAAGAACUCCAAGGAAACUCUGACCAGAGGAUCUGUGGUUCCAAAAAGAAAGUCAUGCAUGCAGGGACUGAAGCAGUGAUUUAUAUGCUAUGACAUAAUGUUUUUGACACAAAAAGUACUUGUCAAAAAUCAAGAUACAAAAACAACUGUUCUAAGUGUUUUAAGGGGAGCAAGGAAAACCUGGCUUUCGUCAGUGAAUAACACAUCUGACAUAAAUAAUGAUUGAAAACCGACAGCUACAGCAGGUGACUUAGAUGCUUCAAAUCCCUAAAAACGAAAAGCCUUUCUCAGAGUUAGAAGUGGCCAUGUGUCUGAGUUCUAGCCAAUAGAAUGAAUGCAACUUCCAGAUUUGGUCCAUAACAAGAUUUCACGCCCAAUUUACCUUCCUUCUUCUGCAUCUGCAGACUGAGUGGAGAGGUCUCUGAGAACACAGAGAAAAGCAGAGGCAGGAUACUAGGUUUGGAUCUAGGUGAGUCCAUAAAUGAACACUGCCCAAAGGACAUGUGCAGGAAAAAUAAACUAUUAUUAUGUUAAACAAUUAAGAUUUGGGGAAUUUGGAGAUGUACCUAAUUUAGUAGCUAGAAAAACCUUAACUAAUACACACCCCCACUCCUAAAUCUGGUUGAGUAGGAGAGAGUGAUAAUUUGGAUUGCUGUUCAGGAAACAUUCACUACCCUCUCCCUUCCACUGAGGGAAGAAGCUACUUCUGCAUUACUGAUGUUGUCCAUCGUCCCCACCUGCUUUGACCAAUGGCACAUUAGCAGAUGUGAUGGGUAGUUUGGGCUUGGCUCUGGCGCUCUGCUGAACUGCCUGAGAAUAGCAUGCCUAGUAGCUCCUCUUCGGCCUAAACCGAUCAAAAAAUACAUAUAUAGCAGACCUAAACCCAACAGCCUGGAACAGAGGCCAUCCGGUCCACAUUUGGAAGCAGAGCCAUCCUGCUGAGCCCUUCCUAAGUCAGUCAAACCAUGUUUGACCAGAAGACAUGUGAGCAAGCAAAGUAUAUGCUUGUUGUAAGCCACUGAGUUUGGGAAGGAGGGUGGGUAUUCAAGUAAUAGCUGAUGGCACAGACAGGCAGCUUUAGGGUAGUGUGGGUGUGAGCACAGACCAUAAGGCCAAACUCUCUAUGUCAAAUGUGUAUAAUUUACUAUCUAUGUUUCCUUGUGCAAGUUAUUUAAACCAUGCCUCAGUUUUCUCGUUUAUAAAAUGGGGUCAUACUACCUCUCGUACACAGUUAAUAUUUAUAGUGUGCUUGGAAGAGUACCUGGUACAUAGUACCACAGCAACAGUGUGCAUGAGAUAAAUAAAAUAAACCUUGUAAACCCACAAAUGUGUCAGUAAAUACCGUAUCAAGAACAUGACUAUCUAUGUUUCCUGCUGUCAGAGGAUGCUUGAAUUCUCCAGAAAUUCUUCCCUGUAAUCAGGAGUCCGCGUUUCGCAAUGUUAAGAGUUCCAUCUGCUGAGGCUUCCUUCUCAUGAGUCAAACAACCUGAUUUGAAUUCUUGUUCCACCAUUUAAGACCUUGAGCGCUCUGCCAGACACUGGGUCUCAUCAGGAAAGUGGGGAUGAUAAUAGUACUUAGCUCUUAGCAUUAUAGUAAAUGCCCUACAGAAAACAUUUUAGUACAGUAGGUAUUGCAUUAUAAACACUAAAUAAAUGUUAUUCUUAAUUUGGGCAAACAAUUUUAGAUACUACCAGGUCACUUUCAGCUUGUUAAGAAGUGGAUUGUAACUUCUAAUGUAUUGUUUACCUCAAUUCACCCAAAGAUACCUUCUCUGAUCUAUUUAAGGCAAAGUAGAUUUUUCAAAAGAGAACCAAAAACCAACAACAACAAA